rnacentral:tRNA from 1 species
GCCGGGAUGGCGGAACUUGGUAGACGCAAGGGACUUAAAAUCCCUCGUCCUUAUCGGACAUGCCGGUUCAAUUCCGGCUCCCGGCA